rnacentral:rRNA from 1 species
UUCUCUCAGAAACUAAUUGAAAGUAAAAUCUGCUCAAAGUCCCCAAAAAGCCGCUCUUGCAGUGCUAAGGUAGCACAAUCAUUUGCCUUUUAAUUCAAGGAUAGUAUGAACGAUUUCACGAUUUUACUAUUGUAUCAUAACUCAAAAAUAAAACUAUACCAAAAGUAAAAAUACUUUUUCGACAAAGCAAGACGACAAGACCCUGACGAACUUACGACACUUAAACUAGGAUGGUUACAAAACAAAAUCUUAAUUACUCAUUACUAAAAAACAAACUACUAAAAAGUUACCGCAGGGAUAACAGCAUAAUUUGUUUUAAAAGUCCCUAUUCAAAAACAAGAUUAUGACCUCGAUGUUGAAUUAAUAAUCUAGAACAAGCAAAAAUGUCCCCAGAUAGACUGUUCGUCUAUUAAAUAUUUACA